UGGGGAAUAUUGCACAAUGGGCGCAAGCCUGAUGCAGCCAUGCCGCGUGUGUGAAGAAGGCCUUCGGGUUGUAAAGCACUUUCAGCGAGGAGGAAGGUGGUGAGCUUAAUACGCUCAUCAAUUGACGUUACUCGCAGAAGAAGCACCGGCUAACUCCGUGCCAGCAGCCGCGGUAAUACGGAGGGUGCAAGCGUUAAUCGGAAUUACUGGGCGUAAAGCGCACGCAGGCGGUUUGUUAAGUCAGAUGUGAAAUCCCCGGGCUCAACCUGGGAACUGCAUUUGAAACUGGCAAGCUAGAGUCUCGUAGAGGGGGGUAGAAUUCCAGGUGUAGCGGUGAAAUGCGUAGAGAUNUGGAGGAAUACCGGUGGCGAAGGCGGCCCCCCUGGACGAAGACUGACGCUCAGGUGCGAAAGCGUGGGGCAGCAAACAGGAUUAGAUACCCUGGUAGUCCACGCUGUAAACGAUGUCGAUUUGGAGGUUGUCGCCCUUGAGGCGUGGCUUCCGGAGCUAACGCGUUAAAUCGACCGCCUGGGGAGUACGGCCGCAAGGUU
rnacentral:rRNA from 1 species